UCCGGUUGAUCCUGCCGGACCCCACUGCUAUCGGGAUAGGACUAAGACAUGCUAGUUGAGCGCUUCCAGCCAACACGGGAGCGCAGCGCACAGCUCAGUAACACGUGGCUAAUCUGCCCUUGGGACCGGAAUACCCCCGGGAAACUGGGGCUAAUUCUCGAUAGGUGAAGAACUCUGGAAUGAGUCUUUGCCAAAAGGAUGCUAGAGUUAUGCUCUUUGGCAUCGCCCAAGGAUGAGGCCGCGACCGAUCAGGCUGUUGGUGAGGUAAUGGCUCACCAAGCCUUUUACCGGUGCGGGCCGUGAGAGCGGGAGCCCGGAGAUGGGCACUGAGACAAGGGCCCAGGCCCUACGGGGCGCAGCAGUCGCGAAAACUUUGCAAUACACGAAAGUGUGACAGGGCUAUCCCGAGUGCCAUCCGCUGAGGAAGGCUUUUACCCAGUCUAGAACGCUGGGGGAAUAAGGAGAGGGCAAGUCUGGUGUCAGCCGCCGCGGUAAUACCAGCUCUCCGAGUGGUGUGGAUGUUUAUUGGGCCUAAAGCAUCCGUAGCUGGCUAAGUUAGUCCCUUGUUAAAUCCACCGAAUUAAUCGUUGGAUUGCGGGGGAUACUGCUUGGCUAGGGGACGAGAGAGGCAGACGGUAUUUCCGGGGUAGGGGUGAAAUCCUAUAAUCCCGGGAAGACUCAUCAGUGGCGAAAGCUGUCUGCUAGAACGCGCCUCGACGGUGAGGGAUGAAAGCUGGGGGAGCGAACUCGGAUUAGAUACCUGGGUAGUCCUCAGCUGUAAACGAUGCAGGCUAGUGUUUGGACGGCCACGUGCUCGUUCUAGUGCCGCAGGAAGCUGUAAGCCUGCCGCCUGUGAGUACGAUCGCAGAUGAACUUAAAGGAUG
rnacentral:rRNA from 1 species